rnacentral:pre_miRNA from 1 species
UGAUUGUCCAAACGCAAUUCUUGUGUAUCAGGAAAUCAAGAACUGUGUGUGGACAUCAGU